rnacentral:ncRNA from 2 species
AAGACGCUUGCGGGAGAGACUGGCCGAGAAGGUCGGCGCCGAAGGAGCAACCGCCCCGGAAACUCUCAGGCAAAAGGACCGUUUGCGUCGC